UCUGGGAGCCGCGAUAGCUCAGUUGGUAGAGCGUCUGACUUGUAAUCCAAGAGUGAUUGGUUCGAUACCAGGGCAGCCCAGAU